CCUAUCCAUGAACCUUCAGGUGUCCAUCGGACUUGAUAGGGAAUCCCGUGCAAAUCGGGAGCGGACCCGCCGCCGUAAGCCCGCGAGAACGCCUGCUCCCCAGCGCGCCACUGGAUCAUGAUCCGGGAAGGCCGGAGCAGGUCGGGCAAGCCGGAAGACCUGCCUGACGCGUCAUCGGCCA
rnacentral:ncRNA from 2 species